rnacentral:lncRNA from 1 species
UUCCUGUAAAUAAUUAUAGUAUUUGGAAUGGAGGCCCACAUAGGAGGGGGUGUUGUCUGGCAGGAUGUCUCCUCCCUUCCCACUCUCAGCAAGAGGAUGCUCAGCAGGGAGGACGGAUGGGACUCAAUGGUUUUACUUCCUCCAUUUCUGGCAGGUGAGACACUGUGGGGCCUUGAGGACUGUGCCUGAGCUCUGCUUUGCCUAAAAAAGGAAGCAAUACAGCUGAGCCUGAGAAGCUAGCUGCAGGAACAAGUAAGAGCUAUGUCCUGCUGCCGUCCCCCACCCCGUUGCCGGGAAUCUUGGCACUGGGUGUUGGCUUCACUCCACAGACCUCAGGCCUCUGAAUGGACCAGAAAGUUCUCGAUGCUUCUGCCUGAGCCUUGAGGAUGAGAGCAGUGCAUUGUUUCCCCACCUUCAGACAACACACAGACG